UUGAACCGAGGGUUCUAAAUUAGAUGCUAAGGAAGCUGGAAUAACUCCAAGCAUCUCCUAGUUGCAGCAGUUUUGAAUUUAAAAGAGAAAUACAGACUUUUGGUAUGGUCGAAAAUGAGGCGAGAAGACGUAGUAAAACUGGCUGUGUCAACAUAACGAUUUGGACCGAAAUGGAUGAUUUUGGCGAUGAAAUAAUGAAUCUAAA